rnacentral:rRNA from 1 species
AUGUCUGGGAAACUGCCUGAUGGAGGGGGAUAACUACUGGAAACGGUAGCUAAUACCGCAUAACGUCUUCGGACCAAAGUGGGGGACCUUCGGGCCUCACGCCAUCGGAUGUGCCCAGAUGGGAUUAGCUAGUAGGUGGGGUAAUGGCUCACCUAGGCGACGAUCCCUAGCUGGUCUGAGAGGAUGACCAGCCACACUGGAACUGAGACACGGUCCAGACUCCUACGGGAGGCAGCAGUGGGGAAUAUUGCACAAUGGGCGCAAGCCUGAUGCAGCCAUGCCGCGUGUGUGAAGAAGGCCU